rnacentral:rRNA from 1 species
UACGGGAGGCAGCAGUGAGGAAUAUUGCGCAAUGGGGGGAAACCCUGUACGCAGCAACGCCGCGUUGUGGGAAGAAGGCCUUCGGGUCGUAAACCACUUUUGCACGGGACGAAAAAGGGAUAUCGACAAAUAUCCCCGAUGACGGUACCGUGAGAAUAAGCCACGGCUAACUCUGUGCCAGCAGCCGCGGUAAGACAGAGGUGGCAAGCGUUGUUCG